AAAUUGAAGAGUUUGAUCAUGGCUCAGAUUGAACGCUGGCGGCAGGCCUAACACAUGCAAGUCGAACGGUAACAGGAAACAGCUUGCUGUUUCGCUGACGAGUGGCGGACGGGUGAGUAAUGUCUGGGAAACUGCCUGAUGGAGGGGGAUAACUACUGGAAACGGUAGCUAAUACCGCAUAACGUCGCAAGACCAAAGAGGGGGACCUUCGGGCCUCUUGCCAUCGGAUGUGCCCAGAUGGGAUUAGCUAGUAGGUGGGGUAACGGCUCACCUAGGCGACGAUCCCUAGCUGGUCUGAGAGGAUGACCAGCCACACUGGAACUGAGACACGGUCCAGACUCCUACGGGAGGCAGCAGUGGGGAAUAUUGCACAAUGGGCGCAAGCCUGAUGCAGCCAUGCCGCGUGUAUGAAGAAGGCCUUCGGGUUGUAAAGUACUUUCAGCGGGGAGGAAGGGAGUAAAGUUAAUACCUUUGCUCAUUGACGUUACUCGCAGAAGAAGCACCGGCUAACUCCGUGCCAGCAGCCGCGGUAAUACGGAGGGUGCAAGCGUUAAUCGGAAUUACUGGGCGUAAAGCGCACGCAGGCGGUUUGUUAAGUCAGAUGUGAAAUCCCCGGGCUCAACCUGGGAACUGCAUCUGAUACUGGCAAGCUUGAGUCUCGUAGAGGGGGGUAGAAUUCCAGGUGUAGCGGUGAAAUGCGUAGAGAUCUGGAGGAAUACCGGUGGCGAAGGCGGCCCCCUGGACGAAGACUGACGCUCAGGUGCGAAAGCGUGGGGAGCAAACAGGAUUAGAUACCCUGGUAGUCCACGCCGUAAACGAUGUCGACUUGGAGGUUGUGCCCUUGAGGCGUGGCUUCCGGAGCUAACGCGUUAAGUCGACCGCCUGGGGAGUACGGCCGCAAGGUUAAAACUCAAAUGAAUUGACGGGGGCCCGCACAAGCGGUGGAGCAUGUGGUUUAAUUCGAUGCAACGCGAAGAACCUUACCUGGUCUUGACAUCCACGGAAGUUUUCAGAGAUGAGAAUGUGCCUUCGGGAACCGUGAGACAGGUGCUGCAUGGCUGUCGUCAGCUCGUGUUGUGAAAUGUUGGGUUAAGUCCCGCAACGAGCGCAACCCUUAUCCUUUGUUGCCAGCGGUCCGGCCGGGAACUCAAAGGAGACUGCCAGUGAUAAACUGGAGGAAGGUGGGGAUGACGUCAAGUCAUCAUGGCCCUUACGACCAGGGCUACACACGUGCUACAAUGGCGCAUACAAAGAGAAGCGACCUCGCGAGAGCAAGCGGACCUCAUAAAGUGCGUCGUAGUCCGGAUUGGAGUCUGCAACUCGACUCCAUGAAGUCGGAAUCGCUAGUAAUCGUGGAUCAGAAUGCCACGGUGAAUACGUUCCCGGGCCUUGUACACACCGCCCGUCACACCAUGGGAGUGGGUUGCAAAAGAAGUAGGUAGCUUAACCUUCGGGAGGGCGCUUACCACUUUGUGAUUCAUGACUGGGGUGAAGUCGUAACAAGGUAACCGUAGGGGAACCUGCGGUUGGAUCACCUCCUUA
rnacentral:rRNA from 1 species